GCUACCUUAGCUCAACCGGCAGAGCAAUCGCUUCGUAAGCGAUGGGUUUCGGGUUCGAAUCCCGAAGGUAGCU
rnacentral:tRNA from 1 species